rnacentral:lncRNA from 1 species
AUCAAUCAAUCAAUCAAGAGGGACAGCAGCCAUGAAGACUUGCCUGGAAGGGGUUUCUCUGAAUAGAGACCUGUUAUACCCUUAGGCAUUAGGGCUUCAUCCCUCCUGGAAAAAAAUGGUAUCUUUGUCUUUUUUUGCCCAAGUUCCACUGCUGGCCAGCCAAGACCCCAGGAUGACAGCAACCCAAGAAUGGUUCUCACCUUGGGAAUACCACCUCCAAUAGGACCAGACUUUCCCAAGGUGUUUUGCAGCAUCCUUUCACUGACUGGUCUACCAAGCCUUACCUGCAUCUCUUUCAAAUAACAUGUUUACUGAGUGACAACUGCAUGGAAGAUGCUGCUAAAGCCACAAAGUAAGAGUCAUCUAGCCCUUCCCUACAGAGUUCUGUCCUCUAUUUUGACAA